UUGGAUCCGGAAUUAAUGAAC
rnacentral:miRNA from 1 species